rnacentral:rRNA from 1 species
UGGGGAAUUUUGGACAAUGGGCGCAAGCCUGAUCCAGCAAUGCCGCGUGCAGGAUGAAGGCCUUCGGGUUGUAAACUGCUUUUGUACGGAACGAAAAGGCUCUGGUUAAUACCUGGGGCUCAUGACGGUACCGUAAGAAUAAGCACCGGCUAACUACGUGCCAGCAGCCGCGGUAAUACGUAGGGUGCAAGCGUUAAUCGGAAUUACUGGGCGUAAAGCGUGCGCAGGCGGUUAUAUAAGUCAGAUGUGAAAUCCCCGGGCUCAACCUGGGACCUGCAUUUGAGACUGUAUAGCUAGAGUACGGUAGAGGGGGAUGGAAUUCCGCGCGUAGCAGUGAAAUGCGUAGAUAUGCGGAGGAACACCGAUGGCGAAGGCAAUCCCCUGGACCUGUACUGACGCUCAUGCACGAAAGCGUGGGGAGCAAACA